UAGGGAAUCUUCCACAAUGGACGCAAGUCUGAUGGAGCAACGCCGCGUGAGUGAAGAAGGUUUUCGGAUCGUAAAGCUCUGUUGUUGGUGAAGAAGGAUAGAGGCAGUAACUGGUCUUUAUUUGACGGUAAUCAACCAGAAAGUCACGGCUAACUACGUGCCAGCAGCCGCGGUAAUACGUAGGUGGCAAGCGUUGUCCGGAUUUAUUGGGCGUAAAGCGAGCGCAGGCGGAAUGAUAAGUCUGAUGUGAAAGCCCACGGCUCAACCGUGGAACUGCAUCGGAAACUGUCAUUCUUGAGUGCAGAAGAGGAGAGUGGAAUUCCAUGUGUAGCGGUGGAAUGCGUAGAUAUAUGGAAGAACACCAGUGGCGAAGGCGGCUCUCUGGUCUGCAACUGACGCUGAUGCUCGAAAGCAUGGGUAGCGAACAGG
rnacentral:rRNA from 1 species